GCCAAAAUAGCUCAAUCGUUAGAGCGUUAAACUAAUAAUCUAAAUAUCACUUGUUCGAUCCCGGUUUUCGGCU